UACGUUCCCGGGCCUUGUACACACCGCCCGUCACGUCAAGGGAGUCGGCAACACCCGAAGCCGGUGGCCUAACCCGCAAGGGAGGGAGCCGUCGAAGGUGGGGUCGGUGACUCGGACG
rnacentral:rRNA from 1 species